GACGAACGCUGGCGGCGUGCCUAAUACAUGCAAGUCGAGCGCAGGAAACUGACGGAACUCUUCGGAGGGAAGGCAGUGGAAUGAGCGGCGGACGGGUGAGUAACACGUAAGGAACCUGCCUCAAGGAUUGGGAUAACUCCGAGAAAUCGGAGCUAAUACCGGAUAGUUCAACGGACCGCAUGGUCCGCUGAUGAAAGGCGCUCCGGCGUCACCUUGAGAUGGCCUUGCGGUGCAUUAGCUAGUUGGUGGGGUAACGGCCCACCAAGGCGACGAUGCAUAGCCGACCUGAGAGGGUGAUCGGCCACACUGGGACUGAGACACGGCCCAGACUCCUACGGGAGGCAGCAGUAGGGAAUCUUCCACAAUGGACGAAAGUCUGAUGGAGCAACGCCGCGUGAGUGAUGAAGGUUUUCGGAUCGUAAAACUCUGUUGUAAGGGAAGAACACGUACGAGAGGGAAUGCUCGUACCUUGACGGUACCUUACGAGAAAGCCACGGCUAACUACGUGCCAGCCGCCGCGGUAA
rnacentral:rRNA from 1 species